GAAAAGUGGCGGAGUGCUAUACAUGCAAGUCGAGCGGACAGAUGGGAGCUUGCUCCCUGAUGUUAGCGGCGGACGGGUGAGUAACACGUGGGUAACCUGCCUGUAAGACUGGGAUAACUCCGGGAAACCGGGGCUAAUACCGGAUGGUUGUUUGAACCGCAUGGUUCAGACAUAAAAGGUGGCUUCGGCUACCACUUACAGAUGGACCCGCGGCGCAUUAGCUAGUUGGUGAGGUAACGGCUCACCAAGGCGACGAUGCGUAGCCGACCUGAGAGGGUGAUCGGCCACACUGGGACUGAGACACGGCCCAGACUCCUACGGGAGGCAGCAGUAGGGAAUCUUCCGCAAUGGACGAAAGUCUGACGGAGCAACGCCGCGUGAGUGAUGAAGGUUUUCGGAUCGUAAAGCUCUGUUGUUAGGGAAGAACAAGUGCCGUUCAAAUAGGGCGGCACCUUGACGGUACCUAACCAGAAAGCCACGGCUAACUACGUGCCAGCAGCCGCGGUAAUACGUAGGUGGCAAGCGUUGUCCGGAAUUAUUGGGCGUAAAGGGCUCGCAGGCGGUUUCUUAAGUCUGAUGUGAAAGCCCCCGGCUCAACCGGGGAGGGUCAUUGGAAACUGGGGAACUUGAGUGCAGAAGAGGAGAGUGGAAUUCCACGUGUAGCGGUGAAAUGCGUAGAGAUGUGGAGGAACACCAGUGGCGAAGGCGACUCUCUGGUCUGUAACUGACGCUGAGGAGCGAAAGCGUGGGGAGCGAACAGGAUUAGAUACCCUGGUAGUCCACGCCGUAAACGAUGAGUGCUAAGUGUUAGGGGGUUUCCGCCCCUUAGUGCUGCAGCUAACGCAUUAAGCACUCCGCCUGGGGAGUACGGUCGCAAGACUGAAACUCAAAGGAAUUGACGGGGGCCCGCACAAGCGGUGGAGCAUGUGGUUUAAUUCGAAGCAACGCGAAGAACCUUACCAGGUCUUGACAUCCUCUGACAAUCCUAGAGAUAGGACGUCCCCUUCGGGGGCAGAGUGACAGUGUGCAUGAUGUCGUCAGCUCGUGUCGUGAGAUGUUGGUUAGUCCCGCACGAGCGCAACCCUUGAUCUAGUGCCAGCAUUCAGUUGGGCACUCUAAGGUGACACAGAUUG
rnacentral:rRNA from 1 species